AUUGAACGCUGGCGGCAGGCCUAACACAUGCAAGUCGAGCGGAAACGACAUAAACAAUUCUUCGGAUGCGUUUAUGGGCGUCGAGCGGCGGACGGGUGAGUAAUGCCUAGGAAGUUGCCCAGUAGAGGGGGAUAACCAUUGGAAACGAUGGCUAAUACCGCAUAACCUCUUUGGAGCAAAGCAGGGGACCUUCGGGCCUUGCGCUAUUGGAUACGCCUAGGUGGGAUUAGCUAGUUGGUAAGGUAAUGGCUUACCAAGGCGACGAUCCCUAGCUGGUCUGAGAGGAUGAUCAGCCACACUGGAACUGAGACACGGUCCAGACUCCUACGGGAGGCAGCAGUGGGGAAUAUUGCACAAUGGGCGAAGGCCUGAUGCAGCCAUGCCGCGUGUGUGAAGAAGGCCUUCGGGUUGUAAAGCACUUUCAGCAGUGAGGAAGGUGGUGUACUUAAUACGUGCAUCAUUUGACGUUAGCUGCAGAAGAAGCACCGGCUAACUCCGUGCCAGCAGCCGC
rnacentral:rRNA from 1 species